rnacentral:rRNA from 1 species
CACAUGCAAGUCGAACGAUGAUGCCCAGCUUGCUGGGYGGAUUAGUGGCGAACGGGUGAGUAACACGUGAGUAACCUGCCCUUGACUUCGGGAUAACUCCGGGAAACCGGGGCUAAUACCGGAUAUGAGCCGUCCUCGCAUGGGGGUGGUUGGAAAGUUUUUCGGUCAGGGAUGGGCUCGCGGCCUAUCAGCUUGUUGGUGGGGUGAUGGCCUACCAAGGCGACGACGGGUAGCCGGCCUGAGAGGGCGACCGGCCACACUGGGACUGAGACACGGCCCAGACUCCUACGGGAGGCAGCAGUGGGGAAUAUUGCACAAUGGGCGAAAGCCUGAUGCAGCGACGCCGCGUGAGGGAUGAAGGCCUUCGGGUUGUAAACCUCUUUCAGCAGGGAAGAAGCGCAAGUGACGGUACCUGCAGAAGAAGCGCCGGCUAACUACGUGCCAGCAGCCGCGGUAAUACGUAGGGCGCAAGCGUUGUCCGGAAUUAUUGGGCGUAAAGAGCUCGUAGGCGGUUUGUCGCGUCUGGUGUGAAAACUCGAGGCUCAACCUCGAGCUUGCAUCGGGUACGGGCAGACUAGAGUGCGGUAGGGGAGACUGGAAUUCCUGGUGUAGCGGUGGAAUGCGCAGAUAUCAGGAGGAACACCGAUGGCGAAGGCAGGUCUCUGGGCCGCAACUGACGCUGAGGAGCGAAAGCAUGGGGAGCGAACAGGAUUAGAUACC